ensembl:piRNA 21ur-300 ncRNA
UGCAAGUGUAAAAUUCACUGC